GCAGAAUAUGAAUAUUACAAAGUAGUGCAAAUAUAGCAGAAAUGGCACACACUUCAUGAACAAAGUAGCAGGUCCUAAAAUAAUUCCAUCACAACUAGCUUCUGGGGGCGGCAGCUCUUUCCUUUGCUACUAUCUGGUUCUUGGAGGUUGCAGAGAAGACUCAAAAUAACUCUGCAAGAAAGCAGUGAUCUUGAGCCCACAUGGAAAAA
rnacentral:lncRNA from 1 species